rnacentral:rRNA from 1 species
AUGAAGCUCUGGAUGGUGCGCGCCGCCAUGACCAUGUUGCUCUGGACCUGCGUCAUGCAGCUCACCGCCGUCGGUGAGACGUGGGGCCCCCAGGUUCUCAAGGGAUGGACCUCCCGCCUCACGGCCCCCGAGGAGGCUGCCGCCGUGCGCCCGGCCGUCAUCGAGAGGGCCGCGUUGCCAUCGUGCAAAAAUUGGUGGUUGGCGUCGAUUUUGCUCGCUUCAUUGUGUAACAUCGAGUCUCCACUGCCAGUCCUCUACGAUCUAACCAAUCAGGCCUCCAUCGACGUUGCGUACUUGGACCGGAAAAUCCAUCAAAUCUCGGAAUACUUGGACGAGAAAAGCAUCAUGUCGCCUUUGACUUCGCCGGAGGUAGAAGAACAUCCGUCGAGCCGUCUAAUAUCGCGGCUACAGCAAAGG